GAAAUGCGAUAAGUAAUGUGAAUUGCAGAAUUCAGUGAAUCAUCGAAUCUUUGAACGCAUCUUGCGCUCCUUGGUAUUCCUUGGAGCAUGCCUGUUUGAGUAUCAUGAAAUCUUCAAAGUAAAUCUUUUGUUAACUCAAUUGGUUUCUACUUUGGUAUUGGAGGUCUUUGCAGCUUCACACCUGCUCCUCUUUGUUCAUUAGCUGGAUCUCAGUGUUAUGCUUGGUUCCACUCGGCGUGAUAAGUUAUCUAUCGCUGAGGACACUGUAAAAGGUGGCCAAGGUAAAUGCAGAUGAACCGCUUCUAAUAGUCCAUUGACUUGGACAAUACUUUUAUGAUCGGAUCUCAAAUCAGGUAGGACUACCCGCUGAACUUAAGC
rnacentral:misc_RNA from 1 species